rnacentral:rRNA from 2 species
UUUAUUGGAGAGUUUGAUCCUGGCUCAGGAUGAACGCUGGCGGCGUGCCUAAUACAUGCAAGUCGAGCGAAUGGAUUAAGAGCUUGCUCUUAUGAAGUUAGCGGCGGACGGGUGAGUAACACGUGGGUAACCUGCCCAUAAGACUGGGAUAACUCCGGGAAACCGGGGCUAAUACCGGAUAAUAUUUUGAACUGCAUGGUUCGAAAUUGAAAGGCGGCUUCGGCUGUCACUUAUGGAUGGACCCGCGUCGCAUUAGCUAGUUGGUGAGGUAACGGCUCACCAAGGCAACGAUGCGUAGCCGACCUGAGAGGGUGAUCGGC